UACGUAGGGGGCUAGCGUUGUCCGGAAUCAUUGGGCGUAAAGAGCGCGUAGGCGGCCAGAUAAGUCCGGUGUGAAAGUCACAGGCUCAACCUGUGAAUGCCGCUGGAAACUGUCUGGCUAGAGUCCGGAAGGGGCGAGUGGAAUUCCUGGUGUAGCGGUGAAAUGCGCAGAUAUCGGGAGGAACACCAGUGGCGAAGGCGACUACCUGGCCUGUUCUUGACGCUGAGGCGCGAAAGCUAGGGGAGCAAACGGG
rnacentral:rRNA from 1 species